rnacentral:rRNA from 1 species
UGGGGAAUCUUGCACAAUGGGGGCAACCCUGAUGCAGCGACGCCGCGUGAGCGAUGAAGCCCUUCGGGGCGUAAAGCUCUUUCGACCGGAACGAUAAUGACGGUACCGGGAGAAGAAGCUGCGGCUAACUACGUGCCAGCAGCCGCGGUAAUACGUAGGCAGCAAGCGUUGUUCGGAGUUACUGGGCGUAAAGAGUGCGUAGGCGGUUGGGUAAGUCAGGGGUGAAAGUCUGCAGCUUAACUGUAGAAUUGCCUUUGAUACUUUUAUUCUUGAGUUCGGGAGAGAGAGACGGAAUUCCAGGUGUAGUGGUGAAAUACGUAGAUAUCUGGAAGAACACCAGUAGCGAAGGCGGUCUCUUGGUCCGACACUGACGCUGAGGCGCGAAAGCGUGGGGAGCAAACA